GAUCAGACCCCUUCUCCAUCCUCCUCCUCCUGGCCGCCCUCCCAGGGCUGCGGGCGGCCGUGGAGCUGACGGAGUCCGGAGGGGGCCUCGUGACACCCGGGGGGUCCCUCACCCUCCGCUGCAAGGCCUCCGGCUUCACCUUCAGCAGCUUCUCCAUGUUCUGGAUUCGACAGGCCCCUGGGAAGGGGCUGGAAUACGUCGCGAGUAUUUACAGCAAUGGUGGCACAGAUUACGCGCCGUCGGUGAAGGGUCGCUUCACCAUCUCCAAGGACAACUCCCAGAGCACGGUCACGCUGCAGAUGAAGAGCCUCAAGGAGGACGACACGGCCACCUACUACUGCGCCAAAGAUGCUUAUGGUGGUUAUUGUGGUGCUCCUUAUGCUGCUGGUGGCCCCGACCCCGUCACCUCCUCCUCGCCAACCUUCCCUUACUCUCCCACACUCAUCUUCUGCUGCGAGGCCUCCAGCUUCACCUUCAGCAGCUUCGCCAAGGACUGGGUGCGACAGGCGCCCGGGAAGGGGCUGGAGUUGGUCGCGGGUAUUAACAAGGAUGGUAGUAGCACCUGGUACGCGCCGUUGGUGAAGGGUCGCUUCACCAUCUCCAGGGACAACUCCCAGAGCACGGUCACGCUGCAGAUGAACAGCCUCAAGGAGGACGACACGGCCACCUACUACUGCGCCAAAGCUGCUCGUGGUGGUGGUUGGGUUGAUGGUGGCCCUGUCCCCGGCACCGUGUACCCUCACUGUGCUCCAUGAGGGCACGUUUCUGUCUCUGGAGGUGACCCCGGGGGUUGGGGUUCUUCACUGGUCUGGGCUUGGGGCACCAUUAGGAGGUCCAGGCUGCGGGGGCCCUCAGUGGGUGGAAGAAGAAUGGUCUUGGGGACAAUGGCCGAGGCUGAGGGCAAGGAGCUGGGAUGGGUGGAGGGGUCUGGGCUGGGCUGAGAUGGAGGACGAGCCAUGGGGGGACCUUGGGGGUAGCUCAAUUGUCUCCUUCCUCUCUCCCUCC